rnacentral:rRNA from 1 species
AUGGCCCGCGCGUCCUCCUCCGCCGCGGCCGCCUUCCUAUGGGCGCUCGCGUCCCUCCUGGCCACCGCGGCCUCGGGCGCGCGGCUCACGGUCCGCGCCGGCGGGGGCGCGCCGGCCACCGCGGUGUUCGCGCUGGGAAGCUUCUGGCGCUCCGAGGCGGUCUUCGGGUGCCUCCACGGCGUGCUCCGCACCUCCGUCGGCUACGCCGGCGGCUCCAAGGCCAACCCCGAGUACCGCAACCUCGCCGACCACGCCGAGUGCGUCAAGGUCGAAUAUGAUCCCCGUCAGAUUCAGUACAAGCAGCUUUUGGAUGUGUUCUGGGCAAGCCACGAUCCACGGGAGGUCUUCGGACAAGGACCGGAUGUUGGCAACCAAUAUAGAUCCGUCAUUUUCACAAAUGGAACGCUCGAGGCUAGAUUGGCUGCUCUUACCAAAGAAAGAGAACAAGCCAAGGACCGCAGCAGCGUUAUUACCACAAAGAUCCAACCACUGGGAGCAUUUUAUCCUGCUGAACCAGAACAUCAGAAAUUUGAGCUGAAGCGCAAGCCUUUCCUGGUGCAACUGAUCGGGAACCUGCCAGAAGAGGAGCUCCUGUCAUCCACACUGGCUGCGAAGCUGAAUGCGUAUGCAGCCGAGCUCUGCCCUCCAAAGGCCCAGAAGAAGAUAAGCUCCAAGAUUGAUGAGAUUGCCAAGAAAGGUUGGCCCAUCCUACACGACAUUUAG